rfam:Heterorhabditis bacteriophora unplaced genomic scaffold Scaffold600, whole genome shotgun sequence.
GAACUUACGUGGCUGGAGGGUUUCGGGGUCAUGAAGGCGAGGCCUCCGUGGUGACGCCCAUCCAUCGAAAUUCCGGACGGGUUGGUCUAUGUGGCAUCUUCGAGAUGAUGUUCGCCAACAGCCAAAUUUGUGUGUGGGGCUACGUUCGCGCGUCCCUGUC